UGUGUGUGAGGGCGGGUGUACUGUGAUGCCAGUGUGUGUGUGUGUGUGUGAGUGUUGAACAGUCCCGCCGUGACUCGCUCCAGUUCACAGCCAGGGCCGGAGCCGCAGAGAGAGAAAUGUAGUCUGCCGGCUCAGAACAAUUGUGGAAAUCAUUUGUGGAUUUAGCUUGUGACAAAGAUUAGACACAAAAUGCUGGAGUAACUCAGCGGGACAGGCAGCAUCUCUGGAGAGGAGGAAUGGGUGAUGUUUCAGCUCAAGACCUGGUUCUGAAGAAGGGUCUCGACCCGAACCGUCACCAACGAAUAAGGGGUCCUCCCAUGCCUUCCUCCUACACCUCGCCCAGCCCAGCAUCCACCCGGCGGCCUGCUUCCCCAGUGCCGCCGUCACCCUUUGCCAACGGCAAGCCAAGGCGGGUGGUGGUGGCCAAGGGUGGCGGGCUGCUGCCGCCGGCUCCUGCCUCAGACACAGACGAUGAGGAGACCUUUGCAAACUCAUAUCUAGCUCAGGCCACUGCAGGCACUGCCUGUGGGCUCAAUCAUGGUAAGGAAAAUACCUUGCAUCUAUUCACCUCCUCUACCAUUAUCCCCCUUUCCUUCAAGCUGGAAGAGGCCUCAGCGUGACCCUUUACCUCCCGGCCUUGCACUAAACCACUCUACUCCUCACUCUACUCCUCACUA